UACAGAGGGGGCGAGCGUUGUUCGGAAUUACUGGGCGUAAAGGGCGCGUAGGCGGCCCGCUAAGUCGAACGUGAAAUCCCCAGGCUCAACCUGGGAACUGCGUCCGAUACUGGCAGGCUUGAAUCCGGGAGAGGGAUGUGGAAUUCCAGGUGUAGCGGUGAAAUGCGUAGAUAUCCGGAGGAACACCAGUGGCGAAGGCGACUUUCUGGCCUGUUCUUGACGCUGAGGCGCGAAAGCUAGGGGAGCAAACGGG
rnacentral:rRNA from 1 species